UCCCCGGUAGCUCAAUGGUAGAGCAUUCGGCUGUUAACCGAAGGGUUGCAAGUUCGAGUCUUGCCCGGGGAGCCA
rnacentral:tRNA from 1 species